UACGUAGGGUGCAAGCGUUGUCCGGAAUUAUUGGGCGUAAAGAGCUCGUAGGCGGUCUGUCGCGUCGGCUGUGAAAUCCCGAGGCUCAACCUCGGGUCUGCAGUCGAUACGGGCAAACUGGAGUGUUGCAGGGGAGACUGGAAUUCCUGGUGUAGCGGUGAAAUGCGCAGAUAUCAGGAGGAACACCGGUGGCGAAGGCGGUUCUCUGGGCCUGUACUGACGCUGAGGAACGAAAGCGUGGGGAGCGAACAGG
rnacentral:rRNA from 1 species